rnacentral:rRNA from 1 species
CCUACGGGUGGCAGCAGUGAGGAAUAUUGGUCAAUGGCAGGAAUCCUGAACCAGCCAAGCCGCGUGAGGGACGACGGUGCCAUGCGUUGUAAACUUCUUUUGUCAAAGGACAAAAUCAGGCUCGAGAGCCUGACCGCGGGUACUUGAAGAAAAAGCAUCGGCUAACUCCGUGCCAGCAGCCGCGGUAAUACGGAGGAUGCGAGCGUUAUCCGGAUUUAUUGGGUUUAAAGGGUGCGUAGGCGGUCCGUUAAGUCAGCGGUAAAAGUCCGGGGCUCAACCCCGUCGAGCCGUUGAAACUGGCUGUCUUGAGAUGGCGAGAGGUACGCGGAAUGCGCAGUGUAGCGGUGAAAUGCUUAGAUAUCGCGCAGAACUCCGAUUGCGAAGGCAGCAUACCGGCGGCGAUCUGACGCUGAGGCACGAAAGCGUGGGUAUCGAACAGGAUUAGAUACCCUUGUAGUC